rnacentral:lncRNA from 1 species
AAGGUUUCAAUAAUAACAUUCAAACAUUUUCUCUUGCUUAAUUUUAUCUCUAUUCAUUUUUGCGGCAUCAUCUAUCUUAUAAUUCAUUCAUACUGGAAAUGCUAAGUCACCUGAUGCUCCAAUCCUAAGAAGCUGUUAUUUUUUUAUUUUUUCUCUAGAAACAGAGUUUUAUGAAAUGCCAUGCUCCGUAGAUCAGAUUGGGGAACCUUCUUGGCCAUCGAUUGACAUAUGAUCAGCUCAUUUUCUCAAGCAAUGAUUAUCUCUUUCAACUGGAAAAUGUAUAUAUCAGCUCAUUGAUUGACUCUGCUCACUCACAUACUAUUCUAUUAUCUUCUAAAGAUCUUCCCUUUGAUAAUCUUUUCCUUGCUUUACUUGCCUG